rnacentral:tRNA from 1 species
CCAGAGGCGAUGCAGUGGUAGAAUUCCUGCCUUCCAUGCAGGAGACCCAGGUUCACCUGGCCACUGAA